rnacentral:rRNA from 1 species
AGAGGAAGUAAAAGUCGUAACAACGUUUCCGUAGGUGAACCUGCGG